GCGCGAAAAACUUUACAAUGCGGGAAACCGUGAUAAGGGGACACCGAGUGCCAGCAUCAUAUGCUGGCUGUCCAGAUGUGUAAAAUACAUCUGUUAGCAAGGGCCGGGCAAGACCGGUGCCAGCCGCCGCGGUAACACCGGCGGCCCGAGUGGUGAUCGUGAUUAUUGGGUCUAAAGGGUCCGUAGCCGGUUUGGUCAGUCCUCCGGGAAAUCUGAUAGCUCAACUAUUAGGCUUUCGGGGGAUACUGCCAGACUUGGAACCGGGAGAGGUAAGAGGUACUACAGGGGUAGGAGUGAAAUCUUGUAAUCCCUGUGGGACCACCUGUGGCGAAGGCGUCUUACCAGAACGGGUUCGACGGUGAGGGACGAAAGCUGGGGGCACGAACCGGAUUAGAUACCCGGGUAGUCCCAGCCGUAAACGAUGCUCGCUAGGUGUCAGACAUGGCGCGACCGUGUCUGGUGCCGCAGGGAAGCCGUGAAGCGAGCCACCUGGGAAGUACGGCCGCAAGGCUAGAAACUUAAGGAAUUGGCGGGGAGCA
rnacentral:rRNA from 1 species